GACGAACGCUGGCGGCGUGCUUAACACAUGCAAGUCGAACGAGAUCCAUGGAGUAGCAAUACUCCGGAAGAUCUAGUGGCGAACGGGUGAGUAACACGUGAGCAACCUGCCCCAAAGACUGGGAUAACCCCGGGAAACCGGAGCUAAUACCGGAUGUCCUCGUCGGAUCGCAUGGUCUGAUGAGGAAAUGAAUUUCGCUUUGGGAGGGGCUCGCGGGAUAUCAGCUUGUUGGNGGGGUAACGGCCUACCAAGGCUUCGACGUCUAGCUGGUCUGAGAGGACGAUCAGCCACACUGGGGACUGAGACACGGCCCAGACUCCUACGGGAGGCAGCAGUGGGGAAUCUUGCCCAAUGGGGGAAACCCUGAGGCAGCAACGCCGCGUGUGGGAUGACGGCC
rnacentral:rRNA from 1 species